rnacentral:rRNA from 1 species
GACGGUGGAGCAUGUUACGUUUAGUUACGACGCAACGCGUAAGAACCUUACCUGGGCUUGACAUUCCCGAUCGUACCUGCGUGGAAACGAGCGGGGUCGAGUUCGGCUGGAUCGGAGACAGGUGCUGCAUGGCUGUCGUCAGCUCGUUGUCGUGAGAUGUUGGGUUAAGUCCCGCAACGAGCGCAACCCUUGUCCUUUAGUUGCCAUCAUUUUAGUUGGGCACUCUAAGGAGACUGCCGGUGUUAAACCGGAGAAGGUGGGGAUGACGUCAAGUCCUCAUGGCCCCCUAUGUCCAGGGCUACACACGUGCUACAAUGGCCGGUACAAAGGGCAGCAAAGCCGCGAGGUGGAGCCAAUCCCAGAAAGCCGGUCUCAGUUCGGAUUGGAGUCUGCAACUCGACUCCAUGAAGUUGGAAUCGCUAGUAAUCGCGGAUCAGCAUGCCCGCGGUGAAUACGUUCCCGGGCCUU